AUGCAGUCGAGCGGCAGCGGGUCCUUCGGGAUGCCGGCGAGCGGCGGACGGGUGAGUAAUGCCUAGGAAUCUGCCUGGUAGUGGGGGAUAACGUUCGGAAACGGACGCUAAUACCGCAUACGUCCUACGGGAGAAAGUGGGGGAUCUUCGGACCUCACGCUAUCAGAUGAGCCUAGGUCGGAUUAGCUAGUUGGUGGGGUAAAGGCUCACCAAGGCGACGAUCCGUAACUGGUCUGAGAGGAUGAUCAGUCACACUGGAACUGAGACACGGUCCAGACUCCUACGGGAGGCAGCAGUGGGGAAUAUUGGACAAUGGGCGAAAGCCUGAUCCAGCCAUGCCGCGUGUGUGAAGAAGGUCUUCGGAUUGUAAAGCACUUUAAGUUGGGAGGAAGGGCAGCUAGUUAAUACCUGGUUGUUUUGACGUUACCAACAGAAUAAGCACCGGCUAACUUCGUGCCAGCAGCCGCGGUAAUACGAAGGGUGCAAGCGUUAAUCGGAAUUACUGGGCGUAAAGCGCGCGUAGGUGGUUCAGCAAGUUGGAGGUGAAAUCCCCGGGCUCAACCUGGGAACUGCCUCCAAAACUACUGAGCUAGAGUAC
rnacentral:rRNA from 1 species